UUUUUUUCUUUUUUCAAUGGUGUGAAAGUAAUAGAUGUUGUAGGUCUGUGAAGAAGGAAAAGGAGAAAGAAAUGCAGAGUGGAACUGCCUGUUUUAUAGGGAAAAGAGGGUGAGAAAAGCGACUCUAGAGGCGACAAAGAGGAACAAGAGGAAGAGGGAAAAGGGAAAGGAGAAGCAGCAGUAGGAUUCAGAAAAAAAGGUGAAAACAGAAGAACAAUGUUUUGAAAACCUUAAAGGUAAGUAUGAGAGACCACGGAUUAUUGUUAGAUGUUGGUGUCAUGCCUGGGAAUCACAUUUUCUCAUUUAUAAAAUAGAGACAACUGUAUACAAUCCUUAUAUGAUUUUGCUAGAUUAGUAAUUAUUUCAUAAAGUGUUGUCAGAAUGAAGUCAAUGCAUGUAAAGUGCUAAAAACGUGUCUAGCACAGAGAAAAUAUUCAAUAUUGUUCACUACUGUCACAGCCGUUGAUGUUGCUAGUAAUAUGAGUGAGUAUCACUGAAAAGCAUGUAAAGUGCCAAAUAUUGCCAGGUGCACAUAAGUUUUUAAUAAAUAUUAUGACCAUAAUAAGUUAUUAUUACUAUUGUUAUUACUAUUUGAAUAAAAAUGAGACAUAAACUAACCAAAACAUUAAAGAAUGAAAACAUAAAUGAAAAGACCAAGGAAAUAUGGGGAAAGCACAAAACAAACUCAAAAUAACAAUAAGGCAAAACUUCAACUUUGAUACACUAUAACUAUAUAUCAUAAACUAAAAACAGAAGGCAAAACAAAGAAAGGAAAGAAAACAAAUUAAUCUCUUAUGUUAGAUACGAAGAGAAAAUAUAAUUUUCAGAUACUAUGACUGUAUGAUAGGAAAACACCAGAGUGCCAAGAUUGUCUCUACAUAAAAAUCAAGAUUUUUUUGUGUCUCUGUACACAAAGAGACACAAAGAACAUGCAAAGAAAGACCUCAUACACAAUAGUGUAUAACAUAGAACUAGAUUUAGAGCAAAAAUAAGAAUGAAAGAUGGAGAUACACUGAUACACUCAUGAUAUCUAAGAAUAAACUGCACAAUGUGUAGACUUUGAUAAAGUAAAUUAUAGUCUCUGCUCUUAGACAAAAGGCUUAAAUUUAGGUUCAGAAAUAAAAUAUGUUUCUUGGGGGGAAGAUAAAAUGAUUUUUAAAUUUAUUUGGAGAAAAAAGUCAUGAAAUUUAGCAAAGAGAGAGUAGUUAGAGCUAAUUUACCCAACAUGUAUUAAAUACAAUAAAAAGGGGUACUAAGUAGAAUACAUGCUUACUACUGAUGGAAUUAGAUAAUAGUAGCAGCAUUUACAAUUUCUUUAUUCCAUGCACUGUUGAGUGCUUUACAUGUAUUAACUAAUUUUAUCUCACACAUAACAAUGCUGUGAGGUUACCUCCAUCCUAGAGGAAGAAAAGCAGAGCCACCAGACUAAAUAACAAUCAUACCCAACUUCCACAGCUGGUGAGUGUGGGACUGUACUCAAAUCUAGGCUUCCAAUCCUCAGAGCUUCUUGUAAAGAUGUUUUAGAAGAACUUAAUAUAUGAAAAAGGUUUAAUCGUGUACAUAAUUUAAUAUGUCAAGUAAUACCUAAAAGUUUGAAAUGAAACCCAAUAUCUCACUCUUAUAUACACACACACCCAACUUCCACAGCCCAAAGGCAGUCACUUUCAAUUGUUUUGGUGUUGCUGUUACUAUCUAAUCUAAUCUUAGAUUCCUAAAUGUAAAAGUUACAUUGCUGUUUCCCGAUAUUUUCCGUUUUAGACCUCUUCUAUUGACAUCCAAAGGUGAAAGAUGAGGGUUUCUCUUACAAGGUGAGUUUCCCAUCCUCACCUUAUGGUAAGUAAACCAUAGGUGGUUCAGGCAAUACUGACUGUUACAUCAUAAUAAUGUAAAUGUCACUCUCAAAGUCAGAUGUGGACCAUGAUCACACGUCCCUUCUUGGAACAAUGCGCUACCCCCUUUUGGAGUUAAUGCCUGUCCUGUUUUCUUUGUUGCUUUGUCUCCCGGUACCUAUCACAAACUCAAUCCCCAGUAUCUCCGCUAUGAUCAUAAAUGUCCUCAAUAUAAACCGAACACACCAAUCAAUCCUAUUAGCUUCAUUUUGCUUUCCUGGGAAACAUCCAUGCUCUCCAUCUUCCUGCUUCUAUCUAUUCAGAAAGAAUGGUUUCUAGACAAGCUUCGCAGAUGCCAUCAGGGUAAAUCACCAUAGUUCCAAGACCUUUCUUCACUUCUCUCUUGCACUGAGUUUCUUCUUCCUGGAUCUUGUGUUUUUCUUUCUUUGUUUUUAUUUUUUAUUUUUAUUUAACCCCUUCAUGAUGGUGGCACUCAUCCUCAAGUGGCUGUUGAGAAAGUGUGUAAGAGAUGUUUAAAAACUUGCUUUCUCUGAAAAUGUCCUUACUCUACUCUCACAAUUAGAUCAAUGAAAGUCUGGAUGAGUAUGAAAUUUCAGGUUAUAAAAAUUUACCUCAGAAAUUUGAGGACACUGCUUCUAGCUUCCAGUGUUGUAGUGGAGAUGACCAAAUUGAUUCUGAUUCCUGAUCUUUUUUUUUUGGGGGGGGGGCACAUCCAGAGCAUGUGGAAGGAAGUUCCUGGGCCAGGGAUCAAACUCAUGCCACAGUGCAGUGACCCGAGCUACUGCAGUGACAAUGUCCACUGGGCUACAAGGGAACUCCUGAUUCCUGAAUUUUUGUAUGUGACCUACUUGUUUUGCUUUUCCCUCACUGGAAAGUUUUAGUUCUUCUUUUUAACUAUACUGUUUUGAAAUUGCAGUUAUGUAUUUUGGUG
rnacentral:lncRNA from 1 species